UAAGGGAGUAUGCUUAGUAGU
rnacentral:piRNA from 1 species